rnacentral:rRNA from 1 species
CAAUAAGCGGAGGAAAAGAAACCAACAGGGAUUGCCCCAGUAACGGCGAGUGAAGCGGCAACAGCUCAAAUUUGAAAUCCGGCCCCCGGGGCCCGAGUUGUAAUUUGCAGAGGAUGCUUUUGGCGAGGUGCCUUCCGAGUUCCCUGGAACGGGACGCCAUAGAGGGUGAGAGCCCCGUCUGGUUGGACACCGAGCCUCUGUAAAGCUCCUUCGACGAGUCGAGUAGUUUGGGAAUGCUGCUCUAAAUGGGAGGUAUAUGUCUUCUAAAGCUAAAUACCGGCCAGAGACCGAUAGCGCACAAGUAGAGUGAUCGAAAGAUGAAAAGCACUUUGAAAAGAGGGUUAAAUAGUACGUGAAAUUGUUGAAAGGGAAGCGCUUAUGACCAGACUUGGACCCGGUGAAUCAUCCAGCGCUCUCGCCGGUGCACUUUGCCGGGCCCAGGCCAGCAUCAGUUUCCCCCGGGGGAUAAAGGCUCCGGGAAUGUGGCUCCUCCGGGAGUGUUAUAGCCCGCCGCGCAAUACCCUGGGGCGGACUGAGGUUCGCGCAUCUGCAAGGAUGCUGGCGUAAUGGUCAUCAGCGACCCGUCUUGAAACACGGACCAAGGAGUCGUCUUCGUAUGCGAGUGUUUGGGUGUAAAACCCCUGCGCGGAAUGAAAGUGAACGCAGGUGAGAGCUUCGGCGCAUCAUCGACCGAUCCUGAUGUUCUCGGAUGGAUUUGAGUAAGAGCAUACGGGGCCGGACCCGAAAGAAGGUGAACUAUGCCUGUAUAGGGUGAAGCCAGAGGAAACUCUGGUGGAGGCUCGCAGCGGUUCUGACGUGCAAAUCGAUCGUCAAAUAUGGGCAUGGGGGCGAAAGACUAAUCGAACCUUCUAGUAGCUGGUUUC